GACGAACGCUGGCGGCGUGCUUAACACAUGCAAGUCGAGCGGUAAGGCCUUUCGGGGUACACGAGCGGCGAACGGGUGAGUAACACGUGGGUGAUCUGCCCUGCACUUCGGGAUAAGCCUGGGAAACUGGGUCUAAUACCGGAUAUGACCUCCUAUCGCAUGGUGGGUGGUGGAAAGAUUUAUCGGUGCAGGAUGGGCCCGCGGCCUAUCAGCUUGUUGGUGGGGUAAUGGCCUACCAAG
rnacentral:rRNA from 1 species